CAGAUAAAUUAUUGCUAUUGUAAAAAAGACAAUUGUAUUCGGCAUAUCAGCAAAUAUUUAGUACUUUGCAGCAUAGUUGAGCUUUACGAUUGCAAUCUCUUCGUUAGCUGCCCUAAUAAGUCAAUUAGCACAGCUCACGCGUUACCAAGAGAAUGACGAGUUGUGUCUACUGAUAACAGAUUCCCUUACAUGGGAGUAUUUUUAUUGAAAGACAGUUUAUAAUGAUACAAAUAUAAAUGUCUCUGGCUUGCGAAAGUUGGUUUUAAAUUGUUGAACAUAGAAAUGGCAUUGUGCACGAGAGUACUGAAUCUACGACCAUGUUUGGGGUGCACAUGCGUAGUAAGGAUUUUUUCUGGCGCGCCGAGAACAGAGGAAGAAGUUGCAGUAUCUCGAGACUGGGAAAAAAUGGUGGAUGCGUUUGAGAUGGGAACUGUUUUCUGCUGGGAAAUUUGUGGUACAUUGAUGUGAUCCUUGGAACUCAAAUGAUGACUUCCCAAUCAGCUCAGGAGAGCCAUCUGUCAAGCCAAGAGCAACAAAAUUUGAUCAAUGAUACCGUGCUGUAUAUCCUGUCUCAGGAUAAUACCAAGUAUGCUAUCAAGCGAAGAGACACUGUAAAAAAUGUUCUCAAAACACAUGGAAGGAACUGUAAUUAUAUCAUGGAUGGAGCUAAACGUGUGCUCAAGGAGGUGCAUGCUGAACAGUUUCUCAGACUGACGGCUGCUGCCAAAUACUGACGACAUUAACAAAAUGUGCCCUGACACGAGGUAACUAUUUAUAAAUAUUUGUAUUUGUUUCAAAGAAUAACACCGUCAUUCGUGUAACAUUAUUUUUGUUUCAUGAAUAACACAAGUACAUACAGGCAACUCUCGGUUUACGAACUCAUUCAAAACUUCUUAAAGUCGCCUAAAGAUAGAGUUCCUUAUAAAACGAAAUUCCAAACGUUUAGUGAACAUAAUUGUAAGAUUUAAAUAAAUAAACUUUUAAAAAUGUAUUUAUUAUAAUAAUUAUCAGAAAAUUAUUGCAUGAUAAUUGUACUGAACUCGAUGUUUAGUACAUGGUUUCAAUGCUGUAAAGUGGCUACGUAUCGUAAAGCUCAGGAAUGCAAGAUACAACGAACAACGUGUUGGAACGUAACUCGUUCGUAAACCGAGAGUUCCCUGUGUUGGGGAGGGCAUGAACAAAUGUAAAGAUAAGUGAAUUGCCCCGCCAUCUGUUGGCAACGUAUUAACUAAUGGGCCCGCGAACAAUUUCUCCUUGGGUAUCCGAUUACCCGGAUAGUAUCUCCGAAAACCCAAAGCUAGGCGACCGGCUUUGCCCUCUAUUGCCAAAGACAUGAACUAAUGUAAAGAUAAGUGAACUGCCGCGCCAUCAAUUGGUCAUAUAAAAAACUAUGGGCCCGCGAACAAUUUCUCCUUGGGUAUCCGAUUACCCGGAUAGUAUCUCCGAAAACCCAAAGCUAGGCGACCGGCUUUGCCCUCUAUUGCCAAAGACAUGAACUAAUGUAAAGAAAGAUAAGUGAGCUGCCGCGCCAUAUGCAGGCAACUCUCGGUUUACGAACAUUCGCUAUAACGAACGUCACACUUCAUCCAAAAUUUCUUAAAUUUGUCAAUAGAUAGAGUUCCUUAUACAACGAAAUGGCAGCAUGGAGUCUGAGCUUUUAAAGUGUAACUGAAAAAAAAAAUUAAUUGCCACAGUUGGUAGCAUAUUUUACACACUGACUUUUACAUUGCACUGUAUUUUGUGAAUCAAAAUGAACUAAACAUUACGAGGAAUGUAGACACUCAUCUUAAUCUGCAUGCUCUAAUUCUAAACCGCAAAUUAAUAAUUUCACAUCUGCUAGUACUGAAGGAAGGACUUGGUUCCUGUAAUGGUCAUUGAAGCUCAAGAGUUAUUUUGCGUUCAUUGUAAAAUUCAUGAAGUGGAAC